rnacentral:rRNA from 1 species
CACGUAGGGUGCAAGCGUUGUCCGGAAUUAUUGGGCGUAAAGGGCUCGUAGGCGGUCCGUCGCGUCGGGAGUGAAAACUCGGGGCUCAACCCCGAGCCUGCUUUCGAUACGGGCGGACUAGAGGUAGGUAGGGGAGAACGGAAUUCCUGGUGUAGCGGUGGAAUGCGCAGAUAUCAGGAGGAACACCGGUGGCGAAGGCGGGUCUCUGGGCCGAUAUUGACGCUGAGGAGCGAAAGCGUGGGGAGCGAACAGG